CGAUAGAACCACGGCUUCCGAGUGAUACGAGGUUGCACACAUCCAUAGUGCUUGCCCGUCUGCAAUUUCGAGAUAUCCCAUUGCUCCUGCCAUGUGGCAAACAUGUCUGCGAGUGCGCCACUCAAAAGCCUCAAGGAUAGCAACUGCUUCGCCUGUAAAAAUUGAAGAUUGUGGAGGACAUUUAAAUGGGAGAGCUAUAUUGUAUCGAGGAAUCCACACUGCUGCUCCCACGCAACUGGUCGCAUCCAUCUUGGAAGCGUCAGUAAACAUCGUGACCUCCAGCGCCAGCGGCCACAAGCGUGGAAGCAUCAAGUGGCUAUAGUAUGAGCUGCUCUUGAUUAAGAAUCUGUCCGCAAGAUACUGUCUGCGGAGAGCCAGUGGAGGGUCAACACUUUCUACCUGCAUGCCAUUCUUCGGAGAACACCUCAUAGCGCCAAGUAUAAUCCUCAAGCAUUUUGCCUGGAUGAGGUCUAGUUUGUCAAGGCCAUCCUUAUUGCAAGGUUCCAUUAAAAGUGACCCAUAAUCUAUAUGACUGCGUAUGAUGGCAUUAUAUAGUAACUUCUGGCAAUAAGGAUGAGAACCCCACCACACCCCGGACAGUGCUCGUAACUCCUUACUCGGAAUUCUGACACCGUCAUAGUAUACAUCAGUUGUUGGCAUGUUCCUUCUGCGGCUAAAUGUAACAGUACAACUCUUUGUCGGAGACAGAGUAAGCCCAUGGUCACCGAGCCAAUCCCCAAGGUAACCCAGAGCCGUGUUCAGACUAGCAGUUGCUUUAUCCAUUGACUUUGCCAUCGUAUAUAAGACAAGAUCAUCAGCGUACUGCAAGAUGUUACAAAAGGAUAAGACAGAUUGUUCUAAGUCAUAUGUGUAUAUGUUGUAAAGAAGGGGGCUGAGUACCGAUCCUUGAGGGAGACCUCUCCACAAAGUCCGAGGAGGACAAUAGGAGUUGCCUUGUCUAAUUUUGAUAGACCUGCCCAUGAAUAGCGAGGUGACAAUGUGUACAAUCUUCGCGGGAAUGCUCAGUUGUAGCAUUUUAGCCCUGAGCACCGGAAGAAGCACAUUGUCAUAUGCAGCAGAGAUGUCGAGGAAACAUCCCAGCAGAUAUUCGUUUUUUGAUAAAAAAGAGCGAUUGGUCGAUAGGAAUUAGCCUCGUCUGGGUUUUUAGACGGCUUUAGGAUAGGAAUGACUACCUGGGACUUCCAAUCUGCUGGAACCUCUCCUGUGUUAAAGGCAUGGUUUAUGAUGCCAAGCAGAUAUUCCUGUCCGGGAGUAUUUAGCUUAGACAGGAAACAAUAUGGGAUCCCAUCCUCUCCAGGUGAAGUAUUCCUUAAACCAUUAAUUACCAGGUUAAGCUCUGAAAAUGAGAAGGGCUGGUCGAGAGAACAGGAGGAACGCGGCAGCGGGGGGGAUAUCAAACAGGACGCCUCAGGGACAGUUGGCGGGGCAAGCCUAUCUGCGAAUUCUGCCAUCCAGGGGGAAUCUAUUGUUGGUUUAGAUUCUGGAUUAAAUGAACCCCUAAAUCUCUUAAUAUUUCGCCAUACAAGAGAUGGAGGGGUUCUAGGAGAUAGGCUCUCGCAGAACCCCUUCCAGCCCCUCUUUUUAGCCUUUGCUAAGAAACGUUUUGUAUGAGCCGAAACUUUUUUAAAAGUAAUGUAAUCGUCCAAAUUACCGGAUUCAUUGAAGAGGCGCUCCGCAUCGUUUCUUUUUUUGAUGGCAGUCGUGCAAUCUGCGUUCCACCAUGGGGGGGAAGGAAUUUUAACCCUGGCAGGCUUCUUUUUCGGGAUAAAUUUGUCGGCAGCUUCCAAAAUGAUAUUUUUGAAGUACGUAUACUUUCCCUCUUGGUCCAUCUCAGUGGGGUUCCUCUCUUUGAUACUCUCUUCGACAAAAAAAGCAUAAUUGGGCCAGUCUGCUGACUGUAUUUUGUAUUUCAGCAGCGGCUCUGGCGGUGGUGAAGGGAGGAUCGACGUUGGUUUAGUGAUAAUUAUCGGAAAAUGAUCACUACCAUAUGAUUGGCGCAAAACCCUCC